UGCCUGUUUACCAAAAACAUCACCUCGAGCAUUACUAGUAUUCGAGGCACUGCCUGCCCAGUGACCAAGCGUUAAACGGCCGCGGUACUCUGACCGUGCAAAGGUAGCAUAAUCAUUUGUUCCUUAAUUAGGGACUUGUAUGAACGGCCACACGAGGGUUUAACUGUCUCUUACCUCUAAUCAAUGAAAUUGACCUUCUCGUG
rnacentral:rRNA from 1 species